AUUAAGGUGGCAGAUUAGUGUGAAGGAUUUAAGAUCCUUUUAUGAAAAGUUUAUUUUUUCUCUUAAUA